UCAUGUUCUAGUAUUUUAAGCUCAUAAAUUUGUGUUCAAAUCGACCACCAACACACCACAACUUUUAAAUCGAUCAUGUAACUCAGUCUCAAACAUCAUCUUCAUCGUCUACUUAGUCUGGCAAAAAAUCAACAAUAAAACCCAUCUGUUAAAUUUCUUGUUGAAUGAUUUCAGGAAUCAGUUUUAAGAAUUUCAAUCCCCUUGUUUCUUCUUCCUUAUUUAAGCCCUAACUCAAUUAUUCUCAUCUUAUCUUCUUUUUCAUUGGUACCACCAGUUAUCAUCGACCAAUACCCAUUAUCGAUUUCAUUCUAUCAAUUUCAACUUUGAAUUUCAAGCACCAUCUUCUUUGUCUAAUCAACUUGCUCUUCCCUGAUUCACUCAUAGCCACCAAAUUUGACUGUGGAGUCGUGGAGAAGAAUCAGGUUGUAUUUUGUGAAGUUCAUAGGAUAAAUCAGAGUAAGCUUGCGUUCAGUUUAUCAUAGGAUAAACCAAUACGUGGCAUAAACUAAAGGAUUACAUGGUAAUUUUACAUUUCAUUUUCUCAUCUGGCCGAGAAAUUGACUUUUCUAACGUUUUUGGAUGGAAAACAUCCAAUAAGCCUAUAUUUGUAAAUGGGAAAAAAACGGGAAUACAUUUUUAAAUCGGAUGUAAAUUCAGGAGUACAUCUGUUUAUAAUCCAAAUAUUAAAGAGCUCGUAGAUAAACUGUGAUCAAGGAUGAAGUCGGCAGAAAAUAAGAAAUAAAAAAGAAAAAUACUAUUACAAUAGAACCGUACCUGCAUUGUGUGUGUUGGAUAUUGAUCUUCGUUACCGAUUCUCCAAUAAUACAACUCGUGUAUUAUCCACCGAUCCGUUACAACUCUUUGUAACACGGUUUUCACUUAUGUAUUAUAUCUCGUAAUACCAACAACAAAAACAAGAAAAGAGAUGAUCAAUCACAAAACUUAAACAGACUUACUUGGGUGUAUUGAGGCGAGUAAUCUCUUUGCUUAAGACAUUUGAUGCCUGUAUAUAAUGUUGUUACAGAUUUAGCGGCAUAUGUCUCCAACAUUCAACAAUACCUCGAUGUUUUUCGCAGCACUUCGAUAACACCGAACAUCGAACACGAAUAAAUGUAGCACAAA